rnacentral:tRNA from 1 species
GCCCCGGUAGCUCAGUCGGUAGAGCGUCGCUCUGGUAAGGCGAAGGUCCCGGGUUCAAAUCCCGGCCGGGGCUCCA